AUUGAACGCUAGCGGCAUGCCUAACACAUGCAAGUCGAACGGCAGCGUGGGGAGCUUGCUCCCUGGCGGCGAGUGGCGGACGGGUGAGUAACGCGUAGGAAUCUGCCUUGUAGUGGGGGACGAACCCGGGGAAACUCGGGCUAAUACCGCAUAAUCUCUACGGAGCAAAGUGGGGGAUCUUUGGACCUCACGCUAUAAGAUGAGCCUGCGUCGGAUUAGCUUGUUGGUGGGGUAACGGCCUACCAAGGCGACGAUCCGUAGCUGGUCUGAGAGGACGAUCAGCCACACUGGGACUGAGACACGGCCCAGACUCCUACGGGAGGCAGCAGUGGGGAAUAUUGGACAAUGGGGGCAACCCUGAUCCAGCAAUGCCGCGUGUGUGAAGAAGGCCUUCGGGUUGUAAAGCACUUUCAGUGGGGAAGAAAGGCUUAAGGUUAAUACCCUUAAGAGUUGACGUUACCCACAGAAGAAGCACUGGCUAACUCUGUG
rnacentral:rRNA from 1 species